ensembl:lincRNA
AGGAAGCUGCAGCUCCUCUCCUCUGGAUCUUUAUGACCACACCAGGAAGCAUUGUGAUCUGCAGUCAUUGCCAACCUGCAGGAUAACACAGCUUGUUCCUCUGGGAACUGCCCUGCAGUGUCUGCAUACAGCCACCCUCAACCUGUCUGCCUGGUCUUUGCAACCUCUAGUGACUGUUGUUCCACAAUGUGUAGUGAAGAGACCUGAAUGGUUUGCACCAAAACACAAACACAAACCAUUGGGAGAGUGAUUGGUGAAGUGAUGGACAUUUACUCGGGCAAAGGUGAGGCUGAGUAAAUAUAAAAUCUGCCUUCAAGUAUUUUUGCAUCAAUGAACAGAAGUAUAUCUUUAAGCCAGUUUUUGUGUGUAUGUGUGGUUAAAAGGUCAAUGAUGAAAAUGGCACAUAAUGCUUUUAUUUACUAUUGAUUUUUGUCUUCAGUUGUUGUUGUUGUUGUUGUUGUUAUGGAGGUGGGGGUGAGGGUGGGGGUGGUA